ACGUAUUCUGAAAGGGAUACUUCUUCGGACAAUAUACAAGGUGCUGCAUGGUUGUCGUCAGCUCGUGCCGUGAGGUGUCGGGUUAAGUCCCAUAACGAGCGCAACCCCUAUCAUUAGUUGCCAUCGGGGUAAUGCCGGGCACUCUGGAAGGACUGCCAUCGACAAGAUGGAGGAAGGUGGGGAUGACGUCAAGUCAUCAUGGCCCUUAUGUCCAGGGCGACACACGUGCUACAAUGGCCGGCACAACGGGAAGCGAGUUCGCGAGGACGAGCGGAUCCCUUAAAGCCGGUCGCAGUUCGGAUUGAAGUCUGCAACUCGACUUCAUGAAGCUGGAAUCGCUAGUAAUCGUGGAUCAGCCAAGCCGCGGUGAAUACGUUCCCGGGCCUU
rnacentral:rRNA from 1 species